GUUAGGUUUUCAGAGCUCAGGCUGUGUGUGUGAGAACAAGCCACUAAGGGCGAAAUGAGAGCUUGAACUGAAGAGAGAAAGGUCUGAUGAAAACAGUAUGAACUUGGACAGAAACAAGAGAUUUAGAGAGAUUAAGAGAUUUAAGUAUAAGAAAGGGGUAGUUUGAGGGAUUCUUAUCCAAGAACACACUUUGUAUUAUGAAGGAGGAGGGGAAAUCCCCCUCUCUCUCUUGAGAGACACAAAAACGUCCAUACAUAGCUUAUUUAUAAGCUUUACACAUUGCAAACUCAUAAACCCUUAAUCUAAUGGAUAGAAAUGACUGAAUUGAAAUGGAUGGCUAGGAUGGAGUCUGGUGGGUUGCUGAGGACGUGAUGGAUGCUGAUUGGUUGAUUCAAACUGGUCAAAGCAAGGGCUGGCUCCUGAUUGGUUCCCUUAAGGCUCCCAUGAACCUUAUUCACAAAGAUGGCUAGAUACAUGGUCAAGGCUGCUUUUCCUUUACAGCUCAAAGACAACCUGUCAUUGACCACGCCCUAGCUCUCCCUUAUCCACAAACAGUCACAAGAUAACUCAGGUUUGUCUUCUCUUGCGCCCUAAGUUUGCACAGCUUCAUUUCAGGUUGAUCCGGAACAAGUACGGUCGAUGGUACGGACCGCCUGUCCGUACCUCUCCCUAUUUUUGCACCAAUUCCCAAUCUUCUCAAAUGGUUGAGUCUGAACAUGAUCUUGGUCGCCCUAAGUUCGUACGGUCCGUACCAUCCGUACCGAUGCUCGACCCUAUUUCUGCACCAUCACCCAACUGACUCCAAAUGGUGUCUAAGUAUGUCUAAGUCCCUCCUGGACUUGACCCUAACUUUGCACACCUCAUUUGGAUACUUCUGGACACUCCUGAACACUCCUAAAGCCUUGAUAGACAAUCUCCGGAGGUCUUGCCCUAUUCUUGCUCAAGACCCAAACUCAACCCAACUCCUCCAUUGGCUCCAUUUCUUUCUUCAAGUCAACACUCCCCCUCAAGCUUGACUCUAGGUGAUCCUAAGCCAAGCUUGGAACCUUGAAGAACUCCCUCAUUAAAAAACCUCACCAAGGAAAACCCUUUGGGACAAAACCUUGAUGAGGGAAAAAGAGUAGAGCCUUCAAGGCCUAGGGAUUGGCCAGUGAGCCUAUGUGCCUUAGUAUCACUGAGGUUUAGGCACAUAGGCUCUGGAUCACGGCCUCUUCACUUCACCACACCUUCUUAGACUCUUCUAUAGAACCGGCUUAGUGUCUCCCCCUUUCACCUGACUUCAUGCCAUCUUGAAAGGCUAGGAACGACCUGAUCCUCUCCAUUGAGUCUCCAAGUAAGGUACCUGAUACAUCAUUCCACAAGUGUAUCAGUUCUCAAGAGAUAAACCUAUCAUGAAUGAAUAUAAAGAGAUUGAUCAGGUUUUCUCCCUUGUUUAAAUGUUGUGGAGUGGCUGCUCUUCACACACCACUUGAAUCCCUCACUUGCUGAGCUUAACAGCUCCUUCUCUUAUCAUGCAAGCUCAUCCACACUCCCCCUCAAGCUUGAGACCGAGUAUAGGAAAGGUCCAAGCUUGAUAGUGAGCGCAUGUUAGCUCCAUGAUAAGCCUUGUGGAGAGCACCUCCAUCUCUUUCAGACUUGAUGCUUGAAUCCUCCAUUACAUCACCAUUGCACUGAGGAGAUACCUCAGCCCACUCUCCAAGCAUCUCACACUAGCUUGUUGAGUGACUUUCUUCUUCCCUCCACUUCGGCUGGAUCACUCCAUGAUCAGCUUGCAAUGGCCUUGACUAACACAGGUCAUUGAGCAACAGGAUCAUCAGGUGGCUCACUUUGCUCCCCUCCUCAAGCUUGGAUUGAGUAUGGGUCCAAGCUUGAAGUGAGCCUCAAUGAGCCUUAAGAUCAGGAGCGCAACAUCUCAUAGAGUGCGCUUCAACCACUGAUCAACCCUUCCCUUUAUCUCCAAUGCCUUCUGGUCACCGGUCUCCUCUAGACUUAGGUGAUGACCACUCGCCUUGUGUAUCCACACACACACCACAGCGACCAUUCCCAAUGGGUAAAGUCUUCCUUUUCUGCUCGGAUUGGUGAUGGACAGAGAGCACAUCUUGUGAACCUGAAACAUCACUCAAACUCCAGCAAAGAUAAGACACAAGCAUUGGGAUCAAUCCUUGACUAAUCAUCAAGUUUGAUCUCCAAUGUCACAAGCUAUGCAACAGAUUGAAACAAGCAUUAUCAAGUUCACAUCUUUGCAAGCAAUCUCUCUAAGUACAAGCAAGAUCAAAUCAGAUUCAAGACAAGCUACUUAGGCAAUCAACCCUGCCUUAAUCCGCAAUCAUAGACAUCCAUCUAUGUGCUCAAUGUUAAGGCAGCAACAAGAUGACAAUAUGCUGUGACCUUAAUCAGUUUCUAGCUCAUGUAUGCAACAAGAUCAGCCAAUGCUUUCUAUUAUCCUAACACACAUCACUUAUAACUGAGGCAAAGCAAUAUUAAUCAUCAAUCAACAUCAGACAAUGCAAAACCUUAAGUGAUUUCAGUUUAAUGAAAGCUAAUAGGAUUUAGACAGUUUCUAACAUCCUAGCACAAUCAUAACCAAACCGGGUAAGCAUUUUAUUUCUCAACAUCAAACAAGACUCUUAAAGCAUCCUGGGACUGAACUAGACAAUACAAUAUAGCAUUUCAUAUCAAGAACCCACGGAUUGCAACACUACACAACACAACACACAACCAGUUUCAAUCACAAGCUCAUAUCAAGAAGGUUUAGGAUUAGCUUACAACCAAGGAACCUGAGCUGGUUCCUUGAGCCUCCUUGGUAAUAGGUCACGAAUCUGAUGGGUAAGAGAGCUGGAUCGUCACCCAACACCUUCUCCUUGUGUUCAUAACCUCCUCCUUGACACCACAACACAAAAGGUUCCACCUUUCUUCACAGCUCCAAGUCUCCAACUUCAGGAACAAGAUGAAAGCUUUCUUCUUGAAGGAUUUCAGCUUGGGACAGAGUUGAGACAUGCCUUUAAUGGACUGGAGAGAGGAGGAACGACCAGGAGACACCACCAUAGCUUCAAACACCUUCUUCUUGAAGAGAGAGAACAGGCUGGACAUCUUCAAUGGUUUGGAUCUGUGAUGAGGCUAGACUUGUGAUGUAUAUGCGGAAGCUGGAACCAAGUUCUGAUGAACCUGGCUCUGAUACCAUGUUAGGUUUUCAGAGCUCAGGCUGUGUGUGUGAGAACAAGCCACUAAGGGCGAAAUGAGAGCUUGAACUGAAGAGAGAAAGGUCUGAUGAAAACAGUAUGAACUUGGACAGAAACAAGAGAUUUAGAGAGAUUAAGAGAUUUAAGUAUAAGAAAGGGGUAGUUUGAGGGAUUCUUAUCCAAGAACACACUUUGUAUUAUGAAGGAGGAGGGGAAAUCCCCCUCACUCUCUUGAGAGACACAAAAACGUCCAUACAUAGCUUAUUUAUAAGCUUUACACAUUGCAAACUCAUAAACCCUUAAUCUAAUGGAUAGAAAUGACUGAAUUGAAAUGGAUGGCUAGGAUGGAGUCUGGUGGGUUGCUGAGGACGUGAUGGAUGCUGAUUGGUUGAUUCAAACUGGUCAAAGCAAGGGCUGGCUCCUGAUUGGUUCCCUUAAGGCUCCCAUGAACCUUAUUCACAAAGAUGGCUAGAUACAUGGUCAAGGCUGCUUUUCCUUUACAGCUCAAAGACAGCCUGUCAUUGACCACGCCCUAGCUCUCCCUUAUCCACAAACAGUCACAAGAUAACUCAGGUUUGUCUUCUCUUGCGCCCUAAGUUUGCACAGCUUCAUUUCAGGUUGAUCCGGAACAAGUACGGUCGAUGGUACGGACCGCCUGUCCGUACCUCUCCCUAUUUUUGCACCAACUCCCAAUCUUCUCAAAUGGUUGAGUCUGAACAUGAUCUUGGUCGCCCUAAGUUCGUACGGUCCGUACCAUCCGUACCGAUGCUCGACCCUAUUUCUGCACCAUCACCCAACUGACUCCAAAUGGUGUCUAAGUAUGUCUAAGUCCCUCCUGGACUUGACCCUAACUUUGCACACCUCAUUUGGAUACUUCUGGACACUCCUGAACACUCCUAAAGCCUUGAUAGACAAUCUCCGGAGGUCUUGCCCUAUUCUUGCUCAAGACCCAAACUCAACCCAACUCCUCCAUUGGCUCCAUUUCUUUCUUCAAGUCAACACUCCCCCUCAAGCUUGACUCUAGGUGAUCCUAAGCCAAGCUUGGAACCUUGAAGAACUCCCUCAUUAAAAACCUCACCAAGGAAAACCCUUUGGGACAAAACCUUGAUAAGGGAAAAAGAGUAGAGCCUUCAAGGCCUAGGGAUUGGCCAGUGAGCCUAUGUGCCUUAGUAUCACUGAGGUUUAGGCACAUAGGCUCUGGAUCACGGCCUCUUCACUUCACCACACCUUCUUAGACUCUUCUAUAGAACCGGCUUAGUGUCUCCCCCUUUCACCUGACUUCAUGCCAUCUUGAAAGGCUAGGAACGACCUGAUCCUCUCCAUUGAGUCUCCAAGUAAGGUACCUGAUACAUCAUUCCACAAGUGUAUCAGUUCUCAAGAGAUAAACCUAUCAUGAAUGUAUAUAAAGAGAUUGAUCAGGUUUACUCCCUUGUUUAAAUGUUGAGGAGUGGCUGCUCUUCACACACCACUUGAAUCCCUCACUUGCUGAGCUUAACAGCUCCUUCUCUUAUCAUGCAAGCUCAUCCACACUCCCCCUCAAGCUUGAGACCGAGUAUAGGAAAGGUCCACGCUUGAUAGUGAGCGCAUGUUAGCUCCAUGAUAAGCCUUGUGGAGAGCACCUCCAUCUCUUUCAGACUUGAUGCUUGAAUCCUCCACUACAUCACCAUUGCACUGAGGAGAUACCUCAGCCCACUCUCCAAGCAUCUCACACUAGUUUGUUGAGUGACUUUCUUCUUCCCUCCACUUCGGCUGGAUCACUCCAUGAUCAGCUUGCAAUGGCCUUGACUAACACAGGUCAUUGAGCAACAGGAUCAUCAGGUGGCUCACUUUGCUCCCCUCCUCAAGCUUGGAUUGAGUAUGGGUCCAAGCUUGAAGUGAGCCUCAAUGAGCCUUAAGAUCAGGAGCGCAACAUCUCAUAGAGUGCGCUUCAACCACUGAUCAACCCUUCCCUUUAUCUCCAAUGCCUUCUGGUCACCGGUCUCCUCUAGACUUAGGUGAUGACCACUCGCCUUGUGUAUCCACACACACACCACAGCGACCAUUCCCAAUGGGUAAAGUCUUCCUUUUCUGCUCGGAUUGGUGAUGGACAGAGAGCACAUCUUGUGAACCUGAAACAUCACUCAAACUCCAGCAAAGAUAAGACACAAGCAUUGGGAUCAAUCCUUGACUAAUCAUCAAGUUUGAUCUCCAAUGUCACAAGUUAUGCAACAGAUUGAAACAAGCAUUAUCAAGUUCACAUCUUUGCAAGCAAUCUCUCUAAGUACAAGCAAGAUCAAAUCAGAUUCAAGACAAGCUACUUAGGCAAUCAACCCUGCCUUAAUCCGCAAUCAUAGACAUCCAUCUAUGUGCUCAAUGUUAAGGCAGCAACAAGAUGACAAUAUGCUGUGACCUUAAUCAGUUUCUAGCUCAUGUAUGCAACAAGAUCAGCCAAUGCUUUCUAUUAUCCUAACACACAUCACUUAUAACUGAGGCAAAGCAAUAUUAAUCAUCAAUCAACAUCAGACAAUGCAAAACCUUAAGUGAUUUCAGUUUAAUGAAAGCUAAUAGGAUUUAGACAGUUUCUAACAUCCUAGCACAAUCAUAACCAAACCGGGUAAGCAUUUUAUUUCUCAACAUCAAACAAGACUCUUAAAGCAUCCUGGGACUGAACUAGACAAUACAAUAUAGCAUUUCAUAUCAAGAACCCACGGAUUGCAACACUACACAACACAACACACAACCAGUUUCAAUCACAAGCUCAUAUCAAGAAGGUUUAGGAUUAGCUUACAACCAAGGAACCUGAGCUGGUUCCUUGAGCCUCCUUGGUAAUAGGUCACGAAUCUGAUGGGUAAGAGAGCUGGAUCGUCACCCAACACCUUCUCCUUGUGUUCAUAACCUCCUCCUUGACACCACAACACAAAAGGUUCCACCUUUCUUCACAGCUCCAAGUCUCCAACUUCAGGAACAAGAUGAAAGCUUUCUUCUUGAAGGAUUUCAGCUUGGGACAGAGUUGAGACAUGCCUUUAAUGGACUGGAGAGAGGAGGAACGACCAGGAGACACCACCAUAGCUUCAAACACCUUCUUCUUGAAGAGAGAGAACAGGCUGGACAUCUUCAAUGGUUUGGAUCUGUGAUGAGGCUAGACUUGUGAUGUAUAUGCGGAAGCUGGAACCAAGUUCUGAUGAACCUGGCUCUGAUACCAUGUUAGGUUUUCAGAGCUCAGGCUGUGUGUGUGAGAACAAGCCACUAAGGGCGAAAUGAGAGCUUGAACUGAAGAGAGAAAGGUCUGAUGAAAACAGUAUGAACUUGGACAGAAACAAGAGAUUUAGAGAGAUUAAGAGAUUUAAGUAUAAGAAAGGGGUAGUUUGAGGGAUUCUUAUCCAAGAACACACUUUGUAUUAUGAAGGAGGAGGGGAAAUCCCCCUCACUCUCUUGAGAGACACAAAAACGUCCAUACAUAGCUUAUUUAUAAGCUUUACACAUUGCAAACUCAUAAACCCUUAAUCUAAUGGAUAGAAAUGACUGGAUUGAAAUGGAUGGCUAGGAUGGAGUCUGGUGGGUUGCUGAGGACGUGAUGGAUGCUGAUUGGUUGAUUCAAACUGGUCAAAGCAAGGGCUGGCUCCUGAUUGGUUCCCUUAAGGCUCCCAUGAACCUUAUUCACAAAGAUGGCUAGAUACAUGGUCAAGGCUGCUUUUCCUUUACAGCUCAAAGACAGCCUGUCAUUGACCACGCCCUAGCUCUCCCUUAUCCACAAACAGUCACAAGAUAACUCAGGUUUGUCUUCUCUUGCGCCGUAAGUUUGCACAGCUUCAUUUCAGGUUGAUCCGGAACAAGUACGGUCGAUGGUACGGACCGCCCAUCCGUACCUCGCCCUAUUUUUGUACCAACUCCCAAUCUGACUCCAAAUGGUGUCUAAGUAUGUCUAAGUCCCUCCUGGACUUGACCCUAACUUUGCACACCUCAUUUGGAUACUUCUGGACACUCCUGAACACUCCUAAAGCCUUGAUAGACAAUCUCCGGAGGUCUUGCCCUAUUCUUGCUCAAGACCCAAACUCAACCCAACUCCUCCAUUGGCUCCAUUUCUUUCUUCAAGUCAACACUCCCCCUCAAGCUUGACUCUAGGUGAUCCUAAGCCAAGCUUGGAACCUUGAAGAACUCCCUCAUUAAAAACCUCACCAAGGAAAACCCUUUGGGACAAAACCUUGAUGAGGGAAAAAGAGUAGAGCCUUCAAGACCUAGGGAUUGGCCAGUGAGCCUAUGUGCCUUAGUAUCACUGAGGUUUAGGCACAUAGGCUCUGGAUCACGGCCUCUUCACUUCACCACACCUUCUUAGACUCUUCUAUAGAACCGGCUUAGUGUCUCCCCCUUUCACCUGACUUCAUGCCAUCUUGAAAGGCUAGGAACGACCUGAUCCUCUCCAUUGAGUCUCCAAGUAAGGUACCUGAUACAUCAUUCCACAAGUGUAUCAGUUCUCAAGAGAUAAACCUAUCAUGAAUGUAUAUAAAGAGAUUGAUCAGGUUUACUCCCUUGUUUAAAUGUUGAGGAGUGGCUGCUCUUCACACACCACUUGAAUCCCUCACUUGCUGAGCUUAACAGCUCCUUCU
rnacentral:lncRNA from 1 species